GUAGUUGAACUAGAGCAAUAAUAAAUGACUGUAAUGCAAGAGUUAUGUUAUUUGGUCAUUUAUUCGCUACUCUGUCAGUUUCAUGCUCCAUGCUAAGCAAUCAUCAGACAACUCAGGGCAACUAACUUCAAAGAACGAUGUUAAUCACACAUGCAUCAUCGUCCCAUAAGUACAAGAAACAGAACGAGACUAAACUAUCCAAGUACAUUUGGACACUUAAAAACACAAACAAACCCUUCAAUGUCAAAUGGAGGAUACUAAGAAAAUGAAAACCAUACAAUAAUAUUAGCCAAAGGUUUAACCUCUGCAUCGGUGAAAAGCUCUUUAUUAUCUGUGAAAAAUAACUAUGUGAAAAGAUAUAUGAAAUAUUUCAUAGCUUACUUGAAAAAUAACUAUGUGCCUUUUUGACAAAUACGACGAAUUGGCAAGCUCAUGCCACCACAGGAACAGACUUUUACUCAAGAACUUCAUGACAACAUAAUUGUCACCCAGUAAUGCAGUCUCUUGUUCUGUAUGAUCAUGAGUCAAAUGCUUCUACCUGCCAGUUUUGAAAUGUACAGAUCAUUCUUUAAAUUAGAUUAAAUUAGGGAGCUAGGAACCCUAAUAAAGAAACCAAGGGAUUUUAAGUCAAAAUCUUUUCUGUUCACUCAAACUUACAAUAAUUAUUAUUAUAUCAUUGUGUUGUAGAGGUGGAUGAAAUUUGCCCAUCAUCAGGCCCAGUUAAUAAGGUUGGAAACCUCUUUAACAUAUCUUUAACUGGACCUUUACCAGACGAUGUUGUACCAUGGAUGGCAGAAUUUGAAGGAGUAGAGAUAGUUGCAUUGACAAAAAUCAACCCUUACACUUUUUCUGGACUUGUUCCUGUUUCCACCCAGCCUGGUCUUGUAGGAGUAAAAGUCACAUCUCAAUCUGGUGAAUGUCUUGGUAGAACAUGCUUUCAUUAUGUUGAUGAGAUGGAAGAGCUGGCAAGACAACUUGUUCAUGACCAUAACAAGACAACUAGGUUUUUUGCCAUUUGGUCACAAUUGCAUGGUUUUGUAGGCACCGCGAGUGACAUUGCUCAAGGUAGGUG